AUGUAAAAGAGGAGAGCCGCGGGCUCCCCAGACUUGCCCGCGGGAAAUCACCCCCAUACUCUUCCCGGGUGCAUUCCCCCGCCGGUCAGUCACAGCAUCGGUUCGGGCGUUUAGAGAUAAAAUUUCUCUGGAAGGUAGCUCCUCUCGGGAAGGUUUUAGCCCAGAGGUGCAAAGCAGCCCCCCCGGACCGAGGACCGCGCUUCGGAUAGGAUGCUGGCGUAAUGGUUGUAACCACCCGUCUGGAAACACGGACCAAGGAGUCUAACAUCUAAGCGAGUGUCUGGGUCUCAACCCCAUGGGCGUAAUGAAAGUGAACGAAGGUGCGAACCCUCAACUGUGCACCAUCGGCCGAUCCUGAUGUCUUCGGAUGGAUUCGACUAAGAGCAUAGCCGGUGGGUCCCGAAAGAUGGUGAAGUAUGCCUGAAUAGGGUGAAGCCAGAGGAAACUCUGGUGGAGGCUCGCAGCGGUUGUGACGUGCAAACCCAUCGUCAAAUUUGGGUAAAUAAAAGAAAGACUAAUCGGGCCAUCUGAUGCUAGAUGGCAUGCGCGCCCCCGUGCCCCAGUAGUGCCCGCACGACAGGGGCGACAUCUUCGGUCUCGCUGGCUACCCGCAGUGAGCCUCGACUCACGCGGUGGCUGUGUCCCCAAGCACGGUUAGGAUAUAGCCGA
rnacentral:rRNA from 1 species